AGAGUUUGAUCCUGGCUCAGGAUGAACGCUGGCGGCGUGCCUAACACAUGCAAGUCGAGCGAGGACUUCGGUCCUAGCGGCGGACGGGUGAGUAACGCGUGGGUAAUCUGCCUCAUACACACGGAUAACGUACCGAAAGGUACGCUAAUACGAGCUAAACGUACCGAAAGGUACGCUAAUACGAGAUAAUAUUAAGAAAUGGCAUCAUUUCUUAAUCAAAGAAUUUCGGUAUGAGAUGAGCCCGCGUCCCAUUAGCUAGUUGGUAAGGUAAAAGCUUACCAAGGCGACGAUGGGUAGCCGACCUGAGAGGGUGAUCGGCCACACUGGAACUGAGACACGGUCCAGACUCCUACGGGAGGCAGCAGUGGGGAAUAUUGCACAAUGGGCGAAAGCCUGAUGCAGCAACGCCGCGUGAGCGAUGAAGGUCUUCGGAUCGUAAAGCUCUGUCCUCAAGGAAGAACAAGACGGUACCAUAGGAGGAAGCCCCGGCUAACUACGUGCCAGCAGCCGCGGUAAUACGUAGAGGGCAAGCGUUAUCCGGAAUCACUGGGCGUAAAGGGUGCGUAGGUGGCUGUACAAGUCAGAGGUGAAAGGCUACGGCUCAACCGUAGUAAGCCUUUGAAACUGUAGGACUUGAGUGCAGGAGAGGAGAGUGGAAUUCCCAGUGUAGCGGUGAAAUGCGUAGAUAUUGGGAGGAACACCAGUGGCGAAGGCGGCUUUCUGGACUGUAACUGACACUGAGGCAUGAAAGCGUGGGGAGCAAACAGGAUUAGAUACCCUGGUAGUCCACGCCGUAAACUAUGGGUACUAGGUGUAGGGGGUAUCGACUCCCCCUGUGCCGUCGUUAACACAAUAAGUACCCCGCCUGGGGAGUACGGUCGCAAGACUAAAACUCAAAGGAAUUGACGGGGGCCCGCACAAGCAGCGGAGCAUGUGGUUUAAUUCGAAGCAACGCGAAGAACCUUACCUAGACUUGACAUCUCCUGAAUUACCCUUAACCGGGGAAGCCCUUCGGGGCAGGAAGACAGGUGGUGCAUGGUUGUCGUCAGCUCGUGUCGUGAGAUGUUGGGUUAAGUCCCGCAACGAGCGCAACCCUUAUUUUUAGUUGCUACCAUUAGGUUGAGCACUCUAAAGAGACUGCCCGGGUUAACCGGGAGGAAGGUGGGGAUGACGUCAAAUCAUCAUGCCCCUUAUGUCUAGGGCUACACACGUGCUACAAUGGUGAGGACAAAGAGACGCAAGACCGCGAGGUGGAGCAAAUCUCACAAACCUCAUCCCAGUUCGGAUUGCAGGCUGAAACUCGCCUGCAUGAAGCCGGAGUUGCUAGUAAUCGCGAAUCAGCAUGUCGCGGUGAAUACGUUCCCGGGCCUUGUACACACCGCCCGUCACACCAUGAGAGUUGGCAAUACCCGAAGUCCGUGGGGUAACCGUAAGGAGCCAGCGGCCGAAGGUAGGGUCAGCGAUUGGGGUGAAGUCGUAACAAGGUAACC
rnacentral:rRNA from 1 species